rnacentral:rRNA from 1 species
AGCGAACGUUAGCGGCGGGCCUAACACAUGCAAGUCGAACGCGAAAGGUCUUCGGACUGAGUAGAGUGGCGCACGGGUGAGUAACACGUAGGUAAUCUACCCUUUGGCGGGGGAUAACGUUCCGAAAGGAGCGCUAAUACCGCAUAAGACCACGGAGUCUCCGGACGCUGUGGGAAAAGGUGGCCUCUUCUUGAAAGCUACCACCGAAGGAUGAGCCUGCGUCCCAUCAGCUAGUUGGUAAGGUAAUGGCUUACCAAGGCGAAGACGGGUAGCUGGUCUGAGAGGAUGACCAGCCACACUGGAACUGAGACACGGUCCAGACUCCUACGGGAGGCAGCAGUGGGGAAUCUUGCGCAAUGGGCGAAAGCCUGACGCAGCGACGCCGCGUGGGUGAUGAAGGCCUCGGUUGU